GUGAGGAAUAUUGGUCAAUGGGCGGAAGCCUGAACCAGCCAAGUCGCGUGAAGGAAGAAGGAUCUAUGGUUUGUAAACUUCUUUUGAAGGGGGAUAAAGUGCGUCACGAGUGGUGCAUUGCAGGUACCCUUGGAAUAAGCAUCGGCUAACUCCGUGCCAGCAGCCGCGGUAAUACGGAGGAUGCGAGCGUUAUCCGGAUUUAUUGGGUUUAAAGGGUGCGUAGGUGGCUUUUUAAGUCAGCGGUGAAAACUGGCGGCUCAACCGCAAGAGUGCCGUUGAAACUGGGGAGCUAGAGUAUGAACGAGGUAGGCGGAAUGUGUGGUGUAGCGGUGAAAUGCAUAGAUAUCACGCAGAACUCCGAUAGCGAAGGCAGCUUACCGGUCCAUUAUUGACGCUGAGGCACGAAAGCGUGGGGAUCGAACAGGAUUAGAAACCCUUGUAGUCC
rnacentral:rRNA from 1 species